UACGGAGGGAGCUAGCGUUGUUCGGAAUUACUGGGCGUAAAGCGUACGUAGGCGGUUAUUCAAGUCAGAGGUGAAAGCCCGGGGCUCAACCCCGGAACUGCCUUUGAAACUAGAUAGCUAGAAUCUUGGAGAGGUCAGUGGAAUUCCGAGUGUAGAGGUGAAAUUCGUAGAUAUUCGGAAGAACACCAGUGGCGAAGGCGACUGACUGGACAAGUAUUGACGCUGAGGUACGAAAAGCGUGGGGAGCAAACAGG
rnacentral:rRNA from 1 species